rnacentral:rRNA from 1 species
GAUGAACGCUAGCGGGAGGCCUAACACAUGCAAGCCGAGCGGUAUUUGUUCUUCGGAACAGAGAGAGCGGCGCACGGGUGCGGAACACGUGUGCAACCUGCCUUUAUCUGGGGGAUAGCCUUUCGAAAGGAAGAUUAAUACCCCAUAAUAUAUUGAGUGGCAUCAUUUGAUAUUGAAAACUCCGGUGGAUAGAGAUGGGCACGCGCAAGAUUAGAUAGUUGGUGAGGUAACGGCUCACCAAGUCAAUGAUCUUUAGGGGGCCUGAGAGGGUGAUCCCCCACACUGGUACUGAGACACGGACCAGACUCCUACGGGAGGCAGCAGUGAGGAAUAUUGGACAAUGGGUUAGCGCCUGAUCCAGCCAUCCCGCGUGAAGGACGACGGCCCCAUGGGUUGUAAACUUCUUUUGUAUAGGGAUAAACCUACUCUCGUGAGAGUAGCUGAAGGUACUAUACGAAUAAGCACCGGCUAACUCCGUG